rnacentral:lncRNA from 1 species
GCAAAGGGAAGAAGCCUCAGUUGGUAGCUAUGGAGGGGAGUGAUCCUUCGUUGGAUGAAAAAUUGGUGUAAAAAUUGGUUCUCCUCCCCCCGUGUCGCUGCCACCAUCGAUGCCGCAAGGUAUGUAUGCUUUUCUAGCUGCUUGGUAGCUUCAACUUGGUGAUGACGACUACCUAUGGAGUAAAGUUAAAGGUCCCGUGCUCCUGUUGUUCUUCAGGACUUUUUUUCUUUUGCUCAAACCAGCAUAAACUAUUCAGAGUUUUAACAGAGAAAAUUGGUCCUGUGCUUCCUCAUGAAAUACAAGAAAAGCUCAAUUGUUUAGAGGAAGAGUACUUCAGGAGCCACUCUUCAGCCAUUAAGUCAUAUAUCUCAGAGCUGGAUAUAGAUUUAACAGUGGUAUGUAUAUUUCCAGUUUCAUUUGCUUUUGGGGGAUGAAACACGAUUGCCAGACUUAUUGUAUAGUUUUUAUAGGGCAUGGUACCCCCCAGGGAUCCUUAUAUCCAGGUUUGGGUGCUGGAGGACUUUGGUGAAGUAUCUCUUGGUGACCAUUCCAUAUCAUUGACCAAAAUUUGCUCCACUUCCUUAGGCGCACAGAUGCAAAACAAUUUAUAUCACAUGUUUGCUAUCUGUUACGCUAUAUUUUCCCACUCUGAAAUCUUAAUAUUUCCAGUAAGAAUAAUAUUCUGUUUAAUUUUAAUAGGGUCUCAUGGAAGAAUUUCUGGAUUAGGGAUCACAUAUGAUGUAAAAUAGGUAUUGCUCCUCAGUCCUCACUGUGAUCUUGUUAGUUAAUUAAACAGCAGCGUGAACGUAAUACAGUGACCAGUGCUGGCAGCAUGUCUUAGAUACGAAAAGGCUUGAUGCUUGCUAAAUAUUUUUUCACCUGACACAUGACUUGUACUAUUAGCUACCUUGAAAUUGUGUUGUGCAUUCUGACCUUAUUUUUGAAUCAAUGUGUGUGAGCUGCAUAUUUUAACUGCCACCCACAACAUUUUCUUCAUUGUUGCAGUCUGGUGGAAUAUGCACUCUUGAGGUUCUGAUCGAGACUAUGCGAAAAAGGAAAGAACAUAUGCUAUCUUCAGGUGUCUCUCUGUUCUUCGGCAAUUAAAUUCAUCACUGAAUACUGAAAUCCACUUCAAUCCUAACGUUUGAUCCGGGGAAAUUCAGUUAUGCAUAUUUAUGAGCACUGGUCAUAAUCUUUUUUUAGAUAAGCACACUCUUGACUUGAAUAAUUAUGUCUUAUAUGAAGUGGAGGCACAUGAGUUGGGGUGAUCUGUAUCGCCUCCGGCGGCAUCGGAUUCAUGGAAUUAGUAUAGCAGCUCUCGCGAGAGUUGGCUUUGGUGUUUAUUUUCAUGUUUAACUAUUUGGAUGUGUUCUUUGAAUGCCUCUGAUUGUCUGUGUAUAGUGUAUCUAAGCAUUCUUCCUUUUCUUUAUUAUUAAGAUGACUAAAUUUUGGAUAUUCUUUCAUACAUUUGAUAUUUAAUUGUGUUGUGUACUGUUAUGUUGUUAGAUCAGAAAGUGGGACUUUAAACCGUUUGGCCAUGGCCAUAUAGUUAGCUGCUUGGAGUACAUUAGAUGCACAUGUUCCUUUAGUUACAUGAUCCAUGAUGUAUGACAACAGACCUCCCAAUUGACUGGCGAUGUUUAAAUAGAUAUGACAAGAUUCAUAUGAUGUUUUCCUACAAAUCUAACUAUAAAUCCUAGAAGUGAGUUUUUAGUAAUUUGCUUAUUAAAUGAUCGUGUUGUUGUUUAAUUUUGCCUGAUUUAUUUCUGUGAAACAUACAUGAUCGUCUAUAGUUUCAUUUGGCCUGAAACAAAUUAAGUUGUAUUCACUCCAAACCUGCGUAUUUGUUAGCAUAUUUUUGUGUUUGUUUUGGUCGAUGGUUAGACAUGCUUUGCAUCAAUCAUUUCGUUUUUACAUGAGGAUGUAUGCAGUAAACAUUGUGUUGCAAUCUUAAUUUUUCUAUAGGGUGAACCUCUGGACCUCUCAAAUUAGAAGUAACCAGGAGCUGCGCAAAUUGAUGAAGCUGAAGUAGCGCAGUUUGUAGGAGAAGUUGGCCCAGUUUGGCCCCGACCACAUUUUUUGGGACACAUUUUGGCCCCAACCACAUUCUUUUCCUCGGCCAAAGUCGAUUUGUUCUCUAGAAAGAAAAUACACAAUUAGCGGCAGCAGCUACUAGUCGCCUGAGCUUGGACAGAGGGUGCCGAUACUCCUUGUGCAUCUGGACCAUGAUCUAUCCUUCGAUGAUUGGCCAAAUUUUCAAAGUUUGCCUGGUGGUAAUCCGUCGUGAUCCAAACCAACGGACACAAAAGGAAGUCACUCAUAUUCAUCGUGAUGCUCACGUCGUGGGAGAUUUGGAACGAGUGGAAUGCCUGCGGUUUUCCGGAACAUUUACACCUUGCCAACAACGAUCUUCGCAAAGAUCAAGCGUGAGGCGGCAUGUUGGGGCAAAACACUUGAGAUGAUCAUGCCACGAGAGUAAUUCCUUGCAUAUUAUUGUGCCCUCGGGCAAGUGUUGUAAUCGUAAAUCUUAUUAGUGAAAUGAGGCAAAGCUUUUUACCAUAAUUAAAAAAAUUAUCCGCAGCAGCAGCAGCAUACCUGAACAACAGCCCUGAGGUGACCGGUCCUGUUGUAAUUGUCUUCCUCGAUGAUAACCUCCCCUGACAAAGGAAGAAAUGAGGCCAAGCUUUGACAUUUAUUUAAAUUGGGUAUGGAAAAAUGGUGCACGAUGAAGCAUGAAGUAGGAUGUGCCCAUUUUCAAGCAUGAAGUAG